ACUGCAAUGGAGGAUGAAGCUGUGAAGGCGUGGAAGAUCAUAUAUAUUAGUUAGGAAUCUACUAUUAUUAAUUAGUUUUAAUGUUCUGUGCGGAUGUGAAAGCGUGGAAGAUCGUAUAUAUACCAGAUCUGAAGAAAUAGAAGAAUUUAGAUCUAGAUCUACUAAUUUAAACUUCAUUUUGCAUGUGCGGCGUAGGCGUAGAUCUGAUGACUUGAAAUAGAUUUUUCAUGUCUCCAAAAGUAUUCACGAAGUGAUUGGAGAUUUAGAAGAUUAUGAAGUUCCAAAUGAUCUGAUGUAGAUUAGGAAUCGAAUGGGCGGACAAUGAUGAACGAGAAGAAAUUGGCGGAAGAAUGAUCUGAGGGAAGGAGGGCGAAACCCGGAUGGAGAUUUUAGAAUAUUAUUUUAGAAAAGUUUAUUAUCUCCGAGAGCAUUGACUAUGCCCUUGAUAAAAAAUUAUAAUUAUAUUCGAGAGCCACAACUGCUCUCGGUGAAACCUAUUUUUCUUCACCGACAACUCUAUCACCGACACUGUCACCGUCCGAGAGCUUUUAUCGCCCUUGGCGAAAACAAUCACUGAAGGCAUUUUGGCUUUUUCAGAGGGUUUAUGCCCACGUUAGAAAUCCAUUUUCUACUCGUGUAGGGAAAACCGCCCUAAAUGAGAUAAUUAUGUUCAGUUACCGUAGGGUGGUUUCAAAUUAUCAUCUUUAAUUGUGAGCCUAACCAAUUUUUAUGUUGGAUAUAACAUCUAAGAUUAAGAAUUAUAAUGAAAUUCUAAUUUUA